AGGCCUACCAAGGCGACGAUCUGUAGCGGGUCUGAGAGGAUAAUCCGCCACACUGGAAUUGAGACACGGUCCAGACUCCUACGGGAGGCAGCAGUGGGGAAUUUUGGACAAUGGGGGCAACCCUGAUCCAGCCAUGCCGCGUGAGUGAAGAAGGCCUUCGGGUUGUAAAGCUCUUUCGGCCGGGAAGAAAUCGCAUGGGCUAAUACCCUGUGUGGAUGACGGUACCGUAAGAAUAAGCACCGGCUAACUACGUGCCAGCAGCCGCGGUAAUACGUAGGGUGCGAGCGUUAAUCGGAAUUACUGGGCGUAAAGCGUGCGCAGGCGGUGAUGUAAGACAGAUGUGAAAUCCCCGGGCUCAACCUGGGAACUGCAUUUGUGACUGCAUCGCUGGAGUGCGGCAGAGGGGGAUGGAAUUCCGCGUGUAGCAGUGAAAUGCGUAGAUAUGCGGAGGAACACCGAUGGCGAAGGCAAUCCCCUGGGCCUGCACUGACGCUCAUGCACGAAAGCGUGGGGAGCAAACAGGAUUAGAUACCCUGGUAGUCCACGCCCUAAACGAUGUCAACUGGUUGUUGGUCCUUCACUGGAUCAGUAACGAAGCUAACGCGUGAAGUUGACCGC
rnacentral:rRNA from 1 species